UGGGGAAUAUUGGACAAUGGGCGCAAGCCUGACCCAGCAACGCCGCGUGAAGGAUGAAGUAUUUCGGUAUGUAAACUUCGAAAGAAUAGGAAGAAUAAAUGACGGUACUAUUUAUAAGGUCCGGCUAACUACGUGCCAGCAGCCGCGGUAAUACGUAGGGACCAAGCGUUGUUCGGAUUUACUGGGCGUAAAGGGUGCGUAGGCGGCAAUUCAAGUCAUCUGUGAAAUCUCCGGGCUUAACUCGGAACGGUCAGAUGAUACUGCUUUGCUAGAGUGCAGAAGGGGCAAUCGGAAUUCUUGGUGUAGCGGUGAAAUGCGUAGAUAUCAAGAGGAACACCUGAGGUGAAGACGGGUUGCUGGGCUGACACUGACGCUGAGGCGCGAAAGCCAGGGGAGCAAACGGGAUUAGAUACCCCAGUAGUCCCUGAGCGGGCUGGCAAGGCGCAU
rnacentral:rRNA from 1 species